rnacentral:rRNA from 1 species
UUGAACGCUGGCGGCAGGCCUAACACAUGCAAGUCGAACGGUAACAGGAAGAAGCUUGCUUCUUUGCUGACGAGUGGCGGACGGGUGAGUAAUGUCUGGGAAACUGCCUGAUGGAGGGGGAUAACUACUGGAAACGGUAGCUAAUACCGCAUAACGUCGCAAGACCAAAGAGGGGGACCUUCGGGCCUCUUGCCAUCGGAUGUGCCCAGAUGGGAUUAGCUUGUUGGUGGGGUAACGGCUCACCAAGGCGACGAUCCCUAGCUGGUCUGAGAGGAUGACCAGCCACACUGGAACUGAGACACGGUCCAGACUCCUACGGGAGGCAGCAGUGGGGAAUAUUGCACAAUGGGCGCAAGCCUGAUGCAGCCAUGCCGCGUGUAUGAAGAAGGCCUUCGGGUUGUAAAGUACUUUCAGCGGGGAGGAAGGGAGUAAAGUUAAUACCUUUGCUCAUUGACGUUACCCGCAGAAGAAGCACCGGCUAACUCCGUGCCAGCAGCCGCGGUAAUACGGAGGGUGCAAGCGUUAAUCGGAAUUACUGGGCGUAAAGCGCACGCAGGCGGUUUGUUAAGUCAGAUGUGAAAUCCCCGGGCUCAACCUGGGAACUGCAUCUGAUACUGGCAAGCUUGAGUCUCGUAGAGGGGGGUAGAAUUCCAGGUGUAGCGGUGAAAUGCGUAGAGAUCUGGAGGAAUACCGGUGGCGAAGGCGGCCCCCUGGACGAAGACUGACGCUCAGGUGCGAAAGCGUGGGGAGCAAACAGGAUUAGAUACCCUGGUAGUCCACGCCGUAAACGAUGUCGACUUGGAGGUUGUGCCCUUGAGGCGUGGCUUCCGGAGCUAACGCGUUAAGUCGACCGCCUGGGGAGUACGGCCGCAAGGUUAAAACUCAAAUGAAUUGACGGGGGCCCGCACAAGCGGUGGAGCAUGUGGUUUAAUUCGAUGCAACGCGAAGAACCUUACCUGGUCUUGACAUCCACAGAACUUUCCAGAGAUGGAUUGGUGCCUUCGGGAACUGUGAGACAGGUGCUGCAUGGCUGUCGUCAGCUCGUGUUGUGAAAUGUUGGGUUAAGUCCCGCAACGAGCGCAACCCUUAUCCUUUGUUGCCAGCGGUCCGGCCGGGAACUCAAAGGAGACUGCCAGUGAUAAACUGGAGGAAGGUGGGGAUGACGUCAAGUCAUCAUGGCCCUUACGACCAGGGCUACACACGUGCUACAAUGGCGUAAACAAAGGGAGGCAGAACCGCGAGGUCGAGCAAAUCCCAAAAAUAACGUCUCAGUUCGGAUUGUAGUCUGCAACUCGACUACAUGAAGCUGGAAUCGCUAGUAAUCGCGAAUCAGAAUGUCGCGGUGAAUACGUUCCCGGGUCUUGUACACACCGCCCGUCACACCAUGGGAGUCAGUAACGCCCGAAGUCAGUGACCCAACCGUAAGGAGGGAGCUGCCGAAGGUGGGACCGAUAACUGGGGUG